GCAUGGUGGAAUCUGUGGGGAUUGUGGGAUUGGUUAAGGAGAAAUAAAUAUAUUGUUCGCUACUGUCCUAGACAUAGACCUCAAGACAUGCGCUAAAGAUAUUAAUUACUGAAGAAGUUCCCAAACCUUAGAUGACAAAAAUUCUUAAUGGUGGCAUACUCGGUGAGAAAUUGGGCAACAUAAACUGAACACACCAGAAACUCAACAACCAACAACAAGGAAAACAUGCGUCUACAAUAUGACAUGUUAAUACUCUUCUUCAUUACAUGACAUUCGUUAUUUCUUCGUGGUCAUCAUGGAGUAAUACACUUAAAGACUCAAUAUUUACAAAGAAAAAAUGCAGUACUGCAUGUUUAAAAUAGUUAUUAUCGAUGUCAGGUGGAUACUAAACCAAUGUCACAAUUCUUCAAGUUUCUACAUAACAGCUAGAAUAUUAAGUUUGCGAUAUUCAAAUAAUCUAUGGUAAUGUUCGCUUUGUUUGAUCAUAGUAUAUUAAUCUUAAAAACAUCUGGAUAGGUUUUGUAUAGUAUUUGUUCCACAAUUUUGAUCGGACUAUGGAUAUAAACAUGCCUUCAUAGUCUUGAUAUAUGUUCAGUAUAUGGAACGUAUCCCCCGUGUUUAAAUAAUUUUCUACAUUUAAUGCAACUUCUAAAUGAACAAAGUAAGGCCACGGUUUGAAAUACCAACUUCUUCAUCACCUGUAAUACCUUGUAUUUAUUGUGUUUUCCUAUUCACUUUGAUUCAUUUGCCUAAUUAUAACUAGAUUGUAAAGAUUUUCUAUUCUAGAAGUGCACUAUAUAUGUGCCAAACGGAAAAUUUCAUGUAAUAAAUCGGCUAAAAGUUUAAAAAAUUGCACAAAAUAAUGCUUUUUUUUUAUUAAAAAUAUGAAUUUUACAUACCUUUUAUUUUCCAGCGUUAUAAAAAUUGAAAAUGAAACUGUUGAAAUGUUUUCACUUCCUAUGUUUUCUCAUGUCCGUACGCUAACUGAACCACUCAUUUAAGCACUUUAAAAACUAUUUGUCGUUGAUCUUUCAGAAGCCCCCACCAUAUUUCGAAAUAUAUCAUGUUUCUAUCCGUUCAUUAAAAUGUUUUUAAACAUAUAAGUGACAAGAAAAUACGACUGGAACUGGAAGGUCAACUGGAAGUACUUUGCGCUUGUGUAAAUUGACUUUUUUUAAUUAUUACGGAAUUGUUCACAUUUGCAAUAUGUCUAAAUUGUUUUCUUACGUUAAUAAGUUGUAGCAGUAUUUUUACACUAUUUUAUGCAAUGAUUUGUAGGCAAUCGUCUGAAAUUAUUUCUCAUUUUCUUUCAAUAUUUCAAUUAACACCUAUGUUUUAUUUGUCGCAUAUAAAUCAACCAUUUUGUUUUGUUUUAUCAAAACCAUAUUCAUUACUUAUCAUGGUUACGUCAUGGCGUCUUAAUAAACAUGAUACUUAC